UGUGUAUCUGUUGUACUCAUAUAAAUUGCAAAUGACAGUAAUGUUGUCUUUCAGAUUAACACAGUGGGUACUAAAAUUUACGGAUCAUCUUACAGCCGCUCCAUCAUUAACUCAUUUACGAGUGGAUCUGUGAAAGUCGAAUCAACCCUUGUGUUCAAAGAUAAGAGCUCAGUUCCUUCUGCAAGCAAUGCAACUUCAGAAUUCAGCAGCGAGCUUACUAGCAGUUCCACCUCCCUGAACAUUGUCUCUGGCAGCGUUAGUGCAACUUCUACUUCAACUGCAUCCACUGCUGCACCUACUACAGCUGCCCCUACCGCAGCCCCUACUGCAGCUCCUACUGCAGCUCCUAACGCUACAGAAGCUCCAACUGCGGCUCCUAACGCUACAGAAGCUCCAACUG